GACGAACGCUGGCGGCGUGCUUAACACAUGCAAGUCGAACGGAGUGGCGAACGGGUGAGUAACACGUGAGUAACCUGCCUUUUUCUUUGGUAUAACGCUCAGAAAUGGGUGCUAAUACUGGAUUGAGGGAGAUGGGGUCGCGGCUUAUCAGCUUGUUGGUGGGGGGAUGGCUUACCGAGGGUGUGACGGUUAGCCGGCCUGGGAGUGUGGGCGGGCACAAUGCGACUGAGAUACGGCCCAGACUCGUACGGGGGGCAGCGGUGGGGAGUAUUGCACAAUGGGGGAAACGCUGAUGCAGCAACGCUGCGUGCGGGAUGACGGCCUUCGGGUUGUAAACCGCUUUCAGCUAUGACGCGGUAGUGGCAGAAGAAGCACCGGCUAACUACGUGCCAACAGCCGCGGUAAUAC
rnacentral:rRNA from 1 species